rnacentral:piRNA from 1 species
UAGGGGUACAGAUAUUGUUCAGAAUUGGA